GCUAGCGUUGUUCGGAAUCACUGGGCGUAAAGCGCCCGUAGGCGGAUUUGUCAGUCAGGGGUGAAAUCCCGGGGCUCAACCUCGGAACUGCCUUUGAUACAGCAAGUCUUGAGUUCGAGAGAGGUGGGUGGAAUUCCUAGUGUAGAGGUGAAAUUCGUAGAUAUUAGGAAGAACACCGGUGGCGAAGGCGGCCCACUGGCUCGAUACUGACGCUGAGGUGCGAAAGCGUGGGGAGCAAACAGG
rnacentral:rRNA from 1 species